rnacentral:rRNA from 1 species
UACGAAGGGGGCUAGCGUUGCUCGGAAUCACUGGGCGUAAAGCGCACGUAGGCGGCUUUCUAAGUCAGGGGUGAAAUCCUGGAGCUCAACUCCAGAACUGCCUUUGAUACUGGGAAGCUCGAGUCCGGAAGAGGUGAGUGGAACUCCGAGUGUAGAGGUGAAGUUCGUAGAUAUUCGGAAGAACACCAGUGGCGAAGGCGGCUCACUGGUCCGGUACUGACGCUGAGGUGCGAAAGCGUGGGGAGCAAACAGG